UGAUGACACAUCUCCGGAAUCUCUGAAUUUUUUUUUGAUGAAACUCUGAACCCUUUUUCUGAUGACUGCUUUUUACAAC